rnacentral:RNase_P_RNA from 1 species
CGAGUCAGCCAGACAAUCGCUGUUCGAUUACCUUCGGGUGGUUGUAUGGAGGAAAGUCCGGGCUCCAUAGGGUGGGACGCCAGGUAACGCCUGGGGGGCGCGAGCCUACGGAAAGUGCAGCAGAGAGUAGACCGCCGAUGGCCUGUUCGCAGGCACAGGUAAGGGUGAAAGGGUGCGGUAAGAGCGCACCGCGCGGCUGGUAACAGUCCGCGGCACGGUAAACCCCGUUCGGAGCAAGACCAAAUAGGCCCCCUUUAGCCUUGUGCUAGCAGGUGUGACCCGCACUGGGGGCGGGUAGGUCGCUUGAGGUGUCUGGUGACAGGCAUCCCAGAUGAAUGAUUGUCCGCGACAGAACCCGGCUUAUCGGCUGACUCACCAA